UGGCUCAGAUUGAACGCUGGCGGCAGGCCUAACACAUGCAAGUCGAGCGGUAACAUUUCUAGCUUGCUAGAAGAUGACGAGCGGCGGACGGGUGAGUAAUGCUUGGGAACAUGCCUUGAGGUGGGGGACAACCAUUGGAAACGAUGGCUAAUACCGCAUAAUGUCUACGGACCAAAGGGGGCUUCGGCUCUCGCCUUUAGAUUGGCCCAAGUGGGAUUAGCUAGUUGGUGAGGUAAAGGCUCACCAAGGCGACGAUCCCUAGCUGGUUUGAGAGGAUGAUCAGCCACACUGGAACUGAGACACGGUCCAGACUCCUACGGGAGGCAGCAGUGGGGAAUAUUGCACAAUGGGCGCAAGCCUGAUGCAGCCAUGCCGCGUGUGUGAAGAAGGCCUUCGGGUUGUAAAGCACUUUCAGUCAGGAGGAAAGGUUAGUAGUUAAUACCUGCUAGCUGUGACGUUACUGACAGAAGAAGCACCGGCUAACUCCGUGCCAGCAGCCGCGGUAAUACGGAGG
rnacentral:rRNA from 2 species